AACGAACGCUGGCGGCAGGCCUAACACAUGCAAGUCGAACGCCGUAGCAAUACGGAGUGGCAGACGGGUGAGUAACACGUGGGAACAUACCCUUCGGUUCGGAAUAACUCAGGGAAACUUGAGCUAAUACCGGAUACGUCCGCGAGGAGAAAGAUUCAUCGCCGGAGGAUUGGCCCGCGUCUGAUUAGCUUGUUGGUGAGGUAACGGCUCACCAAGGCGACGAUCAGUAGCUGGUCUGAGAGGAUGAUCAGCCACAUUGGGACUGAGACACGGCCCAAACUCCUACGGGAGGCAGCAGUGGGGAAUAUUGGACAAUGGGCGCAAGCCUGAUCCAGCCAUGCCGCGUGAGUGAUGAAGGCCCUAGGGUUGUAAAGCUCUUUUACCCGGGAAGAUAAUGACUGUACCGGGAGAAUAACGCCCCGGCUAACUUCGUGCCAGCCGCCGCCGUAAC
rnacentral:rRNA from 1 species